UACGGAGGAUCCAAGCGUUAUCCGGAUUUAUUGGGUUUAAAGGGUGCGUAGGCGGGGAUUCAAGUCAGCGGUGAAAGUACAUGGCUCAACCAUGUAAUUGCCGUUGAAACUGUGUUCCUUGAGUAUGGAUAAGGUAGGCGGAAUUCGUGGUGUAGCGGUGAAAUGCUUAGAUAUCACGAAGAACUCCAAUUGCGAAGGCAGCUUGCUGGGUCAUAACUGACGCUGAGGCACGAAGGUGCGGGUAUCGAAC
rnacentral:rRNA from 1 species